AGGCUAUAAAUGGAAAUAAAAUUCCUCGGCCAUUCGGAUAGGAAUUGUUUCCACCGAGAGGUCAUUUUUGUCUUUUUCCUUUUAUCCAAGUUCACAAAAAAGAAAAAAGUAAGAAAGAUAUGAGCCCAACAAAUGGCCCAGAUCCGAAAAUGCCCUACUAUAUAUACACUCCUACUCUUUGAUAAAUCUUCUUCCUUACAUUUCCUAAAAAUAUCGCUGCAUCUCAAGCAUGUUGCCUAAUUGUUGUCGGCAAAACUCUCAGCUCGUGGUUGGGGCUUUGCCCAAAGGGACCGAUGCAACACUCCAUCUGGAUGUGGCAUUCCUCAUUCUGGUAAGCCUUACUCGCUCACUUUGAUUAGACACACUCCAUCUGGAUGUGACGUUCCUGACUCUGGUAAGCCUACUCCCUUGCUUCGAUUACCGUGUCUAUUCCUGUUCUCAUCUCUCAAUCCUUUUUUCAACUGAUGUUGGGUCUACCUCAUUUUUAAGCUCAUAGAUCUGGUUGUUGCACCCCUAUUUUUUGGUAAAGUUUUUAUUAUUUUUCUUAGAGAAAAGACAUAAACAUACCAUUAAAGUUGCUCGAUUUUCAAAAAGACAUCUAAUAAAUACACACUUUUUACACUAGUUAUGCUUUCUCAGCCUCAGAGAGUGUACCUCACUCUCUAAUUAAAUAAUAUAAUAUUAUUUUUCUAUCUUUUUAAUAUAGGAUAGAAUAAAACUCCUAUCAAAUAUCAUUUUAACUCAUUUCACUCUUCCAUCACUAUUAUUUUUCAGCGGCAUGAUCAUCCUCUCUCCUCUUUUCUUUCUCCGUUGAAUUCCACUUCUAAACCUUUCUUUGUGUUAUCACUAAACAACCACAUGCUCAAUCUGAGAUCGUAUAUAAGAGUUUGUCCUUUCUCUGGUACAAAUAAUUUUUUAACCCCAUGGUCAAUAGCGAAAUUUGAACCUAUAAUUCUUUCGCUGCUUUCCUUGAUCUCCGAUGACGUAUUCUGAACUCGAAUUCUCUUCUCCACCCAGAUGGGGAUAGAAAAAUUAAUACCAUCUCUUUCAGUUGCUACCCCAUUAAGUCGAGGUGGUUGAUGGAUUUGAUACUUUCAGAUCCAUUAAUGUCCUCCCUAACAAACAUCAUUACAAAAUCAGAAAAUUAGAACCAAAUUUUGAUAUUUGAUGAAAGAUGAAAACAGAAUUGAAGAGAGAGAAAAUUGUUGUCAUGAAUGAGGUUUUGAUUAAAGUGAAUAGAUGUAGUAGAGGCAUCAAUUUUUUCUGCUUGUACAUUGAUGAAAGAGAACUCUGUAAUUUCUUCUUUUUUCUUGUUUGGAGAAGAUGAGUUGUUUGGAGAAGACAAGUUGUUAAUGUCACAUGACAAUUUUAUAUUUGCUUAAAGGUAAAUUUUAACUCAUUCAUGUGCCUCCUCAUUUGUGACGUUACACUGAAAAUAUGUUAAAGUGGUGUACUUAUUGUGGUUGAAACUAGUUUCAAGGGGUAAUAUGACUCGCGCAAACUUUAGGUGUCUUUUUAAAAAUUUGAGUCAACUUUAAUGAUAUCUUUAUGUUUUUUUCUCUUUUUUAUGAAUUUAAUAAUUAAAGUUAAAGUUACUUCGAUAUUAAAAAAGAAAAAUUAUAAAAUAUUAAAAAAUUAUAUUUUAUAAGAUGACAAUAAGCUCAAACUCUUAAAUUCAUCUCGAAAUUAUCUCUAAUUCUUGACUGAUCUUAUAUUUUUCGAUACAUAUAAUAAGUAUGAGAGUCAUUUAUCUUUACAAACUACUUCUUUUGCAUUCUUUUUUUAAUUCUUGACUAAAUUUAUAUUUUCUGCUGUUGAUUUGAAUGGUAGUUUCGUCCCGAGAUGAAUGACAAUGUUCUUCUCCUGUAAUUUCGCAUCGCCAAAUAUUGAGGGUCUAUGGAACCUGUCGAUCCCACAAAGAUAGGGGUGAGGUUAUACUAGCCUCAGAGUAUGUCUAUACAAUACACGACAAGGAUAAACAUUUUAUUGCUUGCCUUAAGAAAAAAUAAAUUCUUUCCAUGCAUUUCAAUAGGACGAGAUACCGUGUGUGCAUGCUUAUGAAGUACUUGAUAGCAAGAAUUUUCAAAAUGGAUCAUAUUACUCUGACCUAUAUAAAUCAAAAACUGUGUCAAGAACGUAUGAUCUUCCUAUUUAUCCUAUACCACACAAAGAUGAUUGAGUGAUUCCACAGGAGAUAUUGGAGGAGAUAGUUUUGCCCCCAAAAUACAAGCGACCCCCGGAAGACCUUCAAAGAAGGAUCGUGGAAAAUCGGAAAGAGAUAUGUUCGAGAAGAAAAAUAAAAAUUAUUGUAGUUCAUGUGGAUUUAAAGGUCACAAUCGGCGUUCAUGUAGGAAAUAUAAUAAAUGAUAAGUUUACAGAUGUAUUCAGUUCAAAAGCAAUUGUUUUUUUUUUUCAUUGAUUAUUUUAUGAUUCUAAAUUU